rnacentral:tRNA from 1 species
GGAGAGAUGGCUCAGCGGUUGAGCACUGACUGCUCUUCUGGAGGUCCUGAGUUCAAUUCCCAGCAACCACA